CCUACGUGGUGCAGCAGUGAGGAAUAUUGGUCAAUGGACGGAAGUCUGAACCAGCCAUGCCGCGUGCAGGAAGACGGCUCUAUGAGUUGUAAACUGCUUUUGUACAAGGGUAAACCUGAAUACGUGUAUUCAGCUGAAAGUACUGUACGAAUAAGGAUCGGCUAACUCCGUGCCAGCAGCCGCGGUAAUACGGAGGAUCCAAGCGUUAUCCGGAUUUAUUGGGUUUAAAGGGUGCGUAGGCGGAUUGAUAAGUUAGAGGUGAAAUGUCCGAGCUUAACUCGGGAACUGCCUCUAAUACUGUUGAUCUAGAGAGUAGAUGCGGUAGGCGGAAUGUAUGGUGUAGCGGUGAAAGGCUUAGAGAUCAUACAGAACACCGAUUGCGAAGGCAGCUUACCAAUCUAUAUCUGACGUUGAGGCACGAAAGCGUGGGGAGCAAACAGGAUUAGAUACCCGGGUAGUC
rnacentral:rRNA from 1 species